GCCUGGGUGGCUCAGUGGGUUGGGCAUCUGGCUUCAGCCCAGGUCAUGAUCUCACAGUUCAUGGGUUCAAGUCCCGUGUCGGACU
rnacentral:tRNA from 1 species